rnacentral:rRNA from 1 species
UACGGGGGGGGCAAGCGUUGUUCGGAAUUACUGGGCGUAAAGGGCUCGUAGGCGGCCAACUAAGUCAGACGUGAAAUCCCCAGGUUCAACCUGGGAACUGCGUCUGAUACUGGAUGGCUUGAAUCCGGGAGAGGGAUGCAGAAUUCCAGGUGUAGCGGUGAAAUGCGUAGAUAUCUGGAGGAAUACCGGUGGCGAAGGCGGCAUCCUGGACCGGCAUUGACGCUGAGGAGCGAAAGCUAGGGGAGCGAACGGG